rnacentral:rRNA from 1 species
GACGAACGCUGGCGGCGUGCUUAACACAUGCAAGUCGAGCGGUAAGGCCCUUUCGGGGGUACACGAGCGGCGAACGGGUGAGUAACACGUGGGUGACCUGCCCUCAGCGUCUGGGAUAAGCCUGGGAAACUGGGUCUAAUACUGGAUAUGACUCCACGGUGCAUGUCGUGGGGUGGAAAGCCUUGUGCGGCUGAGGAUGGGCCCGCGGCCUAUCAGCUUGUUGGU